UUGAAGGAAGGGUGAGGUAAAAUUCCUGCAAUCCUCUCAGGGUUUAGCUUUUGGCUACUUUUGCUUAUGUCCUAGGGUAACUUUAUGAUGCUUGUAUCCCCAAUCGUCUGUUCUGUUUGUGCUGUAUAUUGAGUUCUGUGCCUUUAAGACUGGUUCUAAGAGCAAGGAGAAGUGCGGAGUUUGUUUUGAGAAAACUGCCUGACUCCUCCACAUUCUUCUGCAGACGGGGUGUUCGGUGGAGCUUGGCGAGACUGCAGGACAGAGAUCUUUUUGCUUUUAGUUAGUUUCAGCUAGCUAGGGCAGAGAAGUUCCCUGGACUGUUUUUUUUUUCCUUUUUCUUGGAACUGUUUAAACCUGCUCUGGACUGAAAACCCAGGGGAGCACUGGGGCUGCACCUGCGGCCCACCGGGGCCUGGACCUCAGCAUUUUCCAGCAGCGCCGGAGGGACUGGGACUGAUGAGAGACUGAGAGAGAGAACCGAGCUACACCCACGGCAAGGACUUUCUCAAUUUGCCAUCUCACUCCAGAACGAGAGAUAUACUACCAAUAUUGACGAGUCCUGAAGACUUUGCAACAACACUACGGAACCCUGCUGAUGAAGAUCUCUUGAAGACAAUCAUGAAUCACAGGGUGGUGUAAGAGUUGGUCUGAAGUCCCCUCAUUUGCCUCACGAUCGUCACGAGGACCCUGAGGACCCCACUGCAGUUCUGGCCUGCUCGAGGUGGAUGCUUGCCAAUCGUCUGCAGGUGCAUUUUCCUGAGUCACCACACCAUGAUUAUCUGUGACAUUAUCUUACAACUGAUGGAGGAGAAAUUUGGUGGAGACAGCAAAGCAUCCUUUGAGAAGGUGACCAAUGAAAUCUGCACGCACCUGAAUAAUACCUAUAAAGAGGAGGGCUGGUGAGGAUGUACACCCUCCAGGCUCUUCAAACAACUUGCCAGCACUGAUUUGCUGCUCUUGGGCCACCAGCCACAGCUGGAAAAAUUUAAAAAGGCAAGAAAAAAGGCUUCUACAAUAUAGAUACCAAUGUCAAUGAUUUCCUUAGCCAACUGAGUUUCUACAGCUAAACAAAACCCAGAUACAUCAAAGUCACCCAACAAAUCCUGAUGUGCUUUGCAGUUUCAGUGUUUCAGGUGGGUUCCUCUGGCCACUGUCCUUGAAGACUACAUUUUAAGAGAGUGACUUUAAGCUUUCUAUCUCUAAAAGAAAGACUUGCUCUUUUCCAGCAGCACCAGCAGUUCUUUGACUCACCUACCACCUCUCCAUCCUCACAGAUGACCGCAAGGAGACCAUCUGAAGCAUGUCCAGAAUCUUGGUAGAGGUCAUUAUUUAAGAGGCAUCAGUAUUGUUUUGUGUUUGAAUUUGAACAAGAGGGGAGUGGUGUAUUGUUGCAACCCUGAGCACUGAGAAUUUUAGACUUUGUGUGCUGAACAGGCACUGACCCCCAACAAAACACUACAUUUGACCCAAGGCCUUGGAAGAGGUUUCCAGAAUUGAGUGAUAGCACUGGUAUUAUGGGUGUGUAGUUUGAAUAGAAGUGUGUAAUAUCACAGGGUGGAAAAUUUAAAGUUUAAGGUUUUAGUAUAUAGUAAUAUAUAUUAAGCAAGAUGGAGGCUUUAAGGUGUAGACAAAGUAUUUUUUUUCACCUUCUUCAUGGGUUUGGGUGGUAUCUUGUAAUUGGAUAGAAAAAUCCGCAUUGCAGACCGUGGGUGGUUGGUUAUUGGGUUAAAAGUGAAAAUAAUUAGAUGUCAUUUCAUAAUUGGACAGGUUGUUCUUAAAAGACCUUGUAAAGAGAGAGACAGAGCCAUUCUUCACUUUUUUAGCUAGAAC